rnacentral:rRNA from 1 species
AGCAGCCGCGGUAAUUCCAGCUCCAAUAGCGUAUAUUAAAGUUGUUGCAGUUAAAAAGCUCGUAGUUGAAUUUCGGGAUCAGAUUGUCGGUCGUGCCUCGGUACGUACUGGCAUUAUUGGUUCCUACCUUCUGAAGAACCGCGAUGUCAUUAAUUUGGUGUCGUGGGGAAUCAGGACUGUUACUUUGAAAAAAUUAGAGUGUUUAAAGCAGGCGCACGCUUGAAUACAUUAGCAUGGAAUAAUGAAAUAGGACGUUUGAUUCUAUUUUGUUGGUUUCUAGGAUUGACGUAAUGAUUAAUAGGGAUAGUUGGGGGCAUUAGUAUUCAAUUGUCAGAGGUGAAAUUCUUGGAUUUAUUGAAGACUAACUACUGCGAAAGCAUUUGCCAAGGAUGUUUUCAUUAAUCAAGAACGAAAGUUAGGGGAUCGAAGACGAUCAGAUACCGUCGUAGUCUUAACCAUAAACUAUGCCGACUAGGGAUCGGAUGAUGUUAAUUUUUAAUGACUCGUUCGGCGCCUUAAC